UUAGGGACACAGAAGGGUCUCAACCUUCUAUCUAGUUUUCUUAGCGAGCAGUGUGUGACGGAUUUAGGGGCCGUUUGGUUGCAUGUGAUUACAACUGUACUGUAGUUGUAACUACAUAUAAAUAUAAAUUUCGUCUUUGAUUUGAUGUAUUUAACUACAAUUGCUGCAAUAGGAACCGCAGGAGGAGGCCCAACUGCAGCAGUUUGAACUACGCCCAAAUUGACCGCAGUUCCAACUACAGCAAUUGGAGAGAAUAAUUUUAAAUAAAAGAUAUGCUUACCUCCUUAAUAUUUUUUAAACAAAAAUUAUUUUAUUUUUUACAUUGGAGGUAAUCUCACCAUCAUAUAUAUAAAAUAAUAAAAUUUUUAAAAUUAUUUCUCAACUGCAUGCAACCAAAUAAAUUAUUUAUACUUGCAGCGCUUUCUACUACAUCCAACCAAAUAAUAUUCAUGUAGUUAUAACUGCUGUAUUUUCAACUGCAUGCAUCUUUAACUACACUGCAUUUAUAAUUAAUCUAACCAAAC
rnacentral:lncRNA from 1 species